ACUCGCAAUUAACCCGUGACCCGG
rnacentral:siRNA from 1 species